rnacentral:rRNA from 1 species
GAUAAACGCUGGCGGCGUGCAUGAGACAUGCAAGUCGAACGAAGGAUCGGGCUUGCUCGAUCCUUAGUGGCGGACGGCUGAGUAACGCGUAGGUGACCUACCCCGAAGUGGGGAAUAACUGCCCGAAAGGGUGGCUAAUACCGCAUGUGGUCGCACGUUCAUUCGUGCGAGUAAAGCCGCAAGGCGCUUCGGGAGGGGCCUGCGUCCGAUUAGCUCGUUGGUGGGGUAAUGGCCUACCAAGGCGACGAUCGGUAGGUGGUCUGAGAGGACGAUCACCCAGACUGGGACUGAGACACGGCCCAGACUCCUACGGGAGGCAGCAGUCGGGAAUUUUGCUCAAUGGGGGAAACCCUGAAGCAGCAACGCCGCGUGAGGGAUGAAGGCCUUCGGGUUGUAAACCUCUUUUGUCAGGGACGAUGAUGACGGUACCUGGCGAAUAAGCCACGGCUAACUACGUG